GGGUUGUGAGGUUAAGCGACUAAGCGUACACGGUGGAUGCCCUGGCAGUCAGAGGCGAUGAAGGACGUGCUAAUCUGCGAAAAGCGUCGGUAAGGUGAUAUGAACCGUUAUAACCGGCGAUGUCCGAAUGGGGAAACCCAGUGCAAUUCGUUGCACUAUCGUUAACUGAAUACAUAGGUUAACGAGGCGAACCGGGGGAACUGAAACAUCUAAGUACCCCGAGGAAAAGAAAUCAACCGAGAUUCCCCCAGUAGCGGCGAGCGAACGGGGAGCAGCCCAGAGUCUGAAUCAGCUUGUGUGUUAGUGGAACGGUCUGGAAAGUCCGACGGUACAGGGUGAUAGUCCCGUACACCAAAAUGCACAGGUUGUGAACUCGAAGAGUAGGGCGGGACACGUGGUAUCCUGUCUGAAUAUGGGGGGACCAUCCUCCAAGGCUAAAUACUCCUGACUGACCGAUAGUGAACCAGUACCGUGAGGGAAAGGCGAAAAGAACCCCGGCGAGGGGAGUGAAAAAGAACCUGAAACCGUGUACGUACAAGCAGUGGGAGCACCUUCGGGUGUGACUGCGUACCUUUUGUAUAAUGGGUCAGCGACUUAUAUUCUGUAGCAAGGUUAACCGUAUAGGGGAGCCGCAGGGAAACCGAGUCUUAACUGGGCGUUAAGUUGCAGGGUAUAGACCCGAAACCCGGUGAUCUAGCCAUGGGCAGGUUGAAGGUUGGGUAACACUAACUGGAGGACCGAACCGACUAAUGUUGAAAAAUUAGCGGAUGACUUGUGGCUGGGGGUGAAAGGCCAAUCAAACCGGGAGAUAGCUGGUUCUCCCCGAAAGCUAUUUAGGUAGCGCCUCGUGAACUCAUCUUCGGGGGUAGAGCACUGUUUCGGCUAGGGGGUCAUCCCGACUUACCAACCCGAUGCAAACUACGAAUACCGAAGAAUGUUAUCACGGGAGACACACGGCGGGUGCUAACGUCCGUCGUGAAGAGGGAAACAACCCAGACCGCCAGCUAAGGUCCCAAAGUCAUGGUUAAGUGGGAAACGAUGUGGGAAGGCACAGACAGCCAGGAUGUUGGCUUAGAAGCAGCCAUCAUUUAAAGAAAGCGUAAUAGCUCACUGGUCGAGUCGGCCUGCGCGGAAGAUGUAACGGGGCUAAACCAUGCACCGAAGCUGCGGCAGCGACACUAUGUGUUGUUGGGUAGGGGAGCGUUCUGUAAGCCUGCGAAGGUGACCUGUGAGGGUUGCUGGAGGUAUCAGAAGUGCGAAUGCUNNNAGAAGUGCGAAUGCUGACAUAAGUAACGAUAAAGCGGGUGAAAAGCCCGCUCGCCGGAAGACCAAGGGUUCCUGUCCAACGUUAAUCGGGGCAGGGUGAGUCGACCCCUAAGGCGAGGCCGAAAGGCGUAGUCGAUGGGAAACAGGUUAAUAUUCCUGUACUUGGUGUUACUGCGAAGGGGGGACGGAGAAGGCUAUGUUAGCCGGGCGACGGUUGUCCCGGUUUAAGCAUGUAGGCUGGUUAUCCAGGCAAAUCCGGAUAAUCAAGGCUGAGGUGUGAUGACGAGGCACUACGGUGCUGAAGUAACAAAUGCCCUGCUUCCAGGAAAAGCCUCUAAGCAUCAGGUAACAUCAAAUCGUACCCCAAACCGACACAGGUGGUCAGGUAGAGAAUACCAAGGCGCUUGAGAGAACUCGGGUGAAGGAACUAGGCAAAAUGGUGCCGUAACUUCGGGAGAAGGCACGCUGGUGUGUAGGUGAAGUCCCUGCGGAUGGAGCUGAGACCAGUCGAAGAUACCAGCUGGCUGCAACUGUUUAUUAAAAACACAGCACUGUGCAAACACGAAAGUGGACGUAUACGGUGUGACGCCUGCCCGGUGCCGGAAGGUUAAUUGAUGGGGUUAUCCGUAAGGAGAAGCUCUUGAUCGAAGCCCCGGUAAACGGCGGCCGUAACUAUAACGGUCCUAAGGUAGCGAAAUUCCUUGUCGGGUAAGUUCCGACCUGCACGAAUGGCGUAAUGAUGGCCAGGCUGUCUCCACCCGAGACUCAGUGAAAUUGAACUCGCUGUGAAGAUGCAGUGUACCCGCGGCAAGACGGAAAGACCCCGUGAACCUUUACUAUAGCUUGACACUGAACAUUGAGCCUUGAUGUGUAGGAUAGGUGGGAGGCUUUGAAGCGUGGACGCCAGUCUGCGUGGAGCCAACCUUGAAAUACCACCCUUUAAUGUUUGAUGUUCUAACGUUGGCCCCUGACCGGGGUUGCGGACAGUGUCUGGUGGGUAGUUUGACUGGGGCGGUCUCCUCCCAAAGCGUAACGGAGGAGCACGAAGGUUAGCUAAUCCUGGUCGGACAUCAGGAGGUUAGUGCAAUGGCAUAAGCUAGCUUGACUGCGAGCGUGACGGCGCGAGCAGGUGCGAAAGCAGGUCAUAGUGAUCCGGUGGUUCUGAAUGGAAGGGCCAUCGCUCAACGGAUAAAAGGUACUCCGGGGAUAACAGGCUGAUACCGCCCAAGAGUUCAUAUCGACGGCGGUGUUUGGCACCUCGAUGUCGGCUCAUCACAUCCUGGGGCUGAAGUAGGUCCCAAGGGUAUGGCUGUUCGCCAUUUAAAGUGGUACGCGAGCUGGGUUUAGAACGUCGUGAGACAGUUCGGUCCCUAUCUGCCGUGGGCGCUGGAGAAUUGAGGGGGGCUGCUCCUAGUACGAGAGGACCGGAGUGGACGCAUCACUGGUGUUCGGGUUGUCAUGCCAAUGGCACUGCCCGGUAGCUAAAUGCGGAAGAGAUAAGUGCUGAAAGCAUCUAAGCACGAAACUUGCCCCGAGAUGAGUUCUCCCUGAGACUUUAAGUCUCCUGAAGGAACGUU
rnacentral:rRNA from 1 species